rnacentral:lncRNA from 1 species
AGGUAUUGAAUUUUCUCUGCCUUUACUAGAAGAGAGUGGUCAUAAGGAGAAAGUUCGAGAACCAAGCCUGGAAUCUGAGGAGUACGUAAUUACAAAACCCUUUGCACGUUCACUUUUAUGAAGUCUCUAAUUCACUCGUUUGAUGCGUUUUUAACAGCAUCAAGUGUGAAAAUGCACUUCUAACUGUAGCAGUUUCCUAGGGAGCAGGCAGUCAGUGACGAAGAUGAAGAGGAAAGUUUGUCUUGGCUGGAAGAGAUCGGUGUGCAGGAUCAAAUUAAGAAGCCAGACUUGAUCUCUGUCAAGCUGCGUAAAGAAAAACAUGAAGUACAGAUGGAUCACCGACCAGAGUCUGUCGUACUGGUGAAAGGACUCAAUACCUUCAAACUGCUCAACUUUUUGAUCAAUUGCAAGAGUUUAGUUGCUACCUCAGGCGCACAGGCAGGUCUCCCACCCACUCUCUUAUCCCCAGUUGCCUUUCGAGGUGCCUCAAUGCAAAUGCUUAAGGUAAGUGUUUACAUCAUCUGCACAGUCCAGCUCUUUGUGUUGUUUUCGGCUUUUUUUUUUUUUUUUGAACACGGGUCUCUGUAAUUCUGUCCUCGAUGUAGACUGCUCUGAUCUCAAGCUCCUAAGUGCUGGCAUUAAAGGCAUGUGCCACCAUGCCUAGCUCAAACUCUCAAUUUUUAAAAAAAUAAUUGUAGGGACUCGGGAGAUGGAUCAGUAUGUAUGAGCACUUGUUCCUCUUGCAGAA